rnacentral:misc_RNA from 1 species
AACCUAGCACACCUGCGGUGUGUACCUGCGGAGGGAUCAUUAACUAUGCGAAAGCAUAUUCCCGCCCGCGGCCUCGCGCCGCUGUGGUGACCACCCUUUGUGAACCUUUAUUUUUUGCUUCGGCAGUUCGCCUCCCGCGAGGGUCGCGGUAAAGCUGCCGACAGCCCACACCAUAAACUAUUUUGUUACCAGAAAUCAUGCAGUCUGAUUUACUUUAAUAUAAAAGUUAAAACUUUCAAC